CGCAGCUGUUGCUCGUUAUUGGUGUGGCAGGGUAUAAAUGCAUUCUGCCUAAACAGAGAUUUCCCGCAUUGAGUAAAGCGAGGUCACGGAAAGACCACGAUUAUUCUCUGCAGGGGGAGCCGAUGACUGUAGAAUUCUGCCUUUUGUCUGCAAUGGCAGUGCGAGAGGAGUAAGGAAAUUGGCGUCCCUCAACAGUUGCUCCCUUCUACAUUCCAGCUGUGCCACGGAGUGGAAGGUGAUAUAAUUCCCCAAGAACAACACAACAUAAUAAACCGCCUGUCAACUGUCACUCUAAUAGAACACACCUCUGUCAUGUCCUCCUGUCCAGCACUGGCGAUGUGCAGUAAGGUGAUGGAAAUUAGAACAUGGGAUUUUGCCACUCAGACCCACACAUGAAAAGGACCCCGCGAUUCAUUCUCUCGGGUUGGGUGGUCCUUCACGUCGAAGCUGAAAUCGUGAGGUCAGAGUGGAAAGUGAUGCUCGUCCACGUCAGUCCGAUGGAUUUAGGGCUCUGCGAGCCAAUACGUAUGCUGCGUCCCUCCAACUUAAGCCCAGCGGUUUGACGUAACUGCAGUAAUUUUCACUUUGAGGAUUAAAACCUUGUCUAACGUCCGUGACUCUCAGAUUCAUUUUCUCAGUCCCGGCUUCAUGGAUGCACUGCAGUGUUGCCGAUCGUAACAAACUGCCUACCCACAAAAUUAAAUCUGGGCGGCUCCCUGAUUCAUUGCAAUUGCUUUCCCAUUCAAAGCCAAGAGCCAUCCACACUCCCCUGUGCAUACUGUUUGUCACAUUGCCUAGGCAAGUUAUCUCCGCUUUAAAGCUGUUCACA